rnacentral:lncRNA from 1 species
CACUGCGGGGCGCACGGACCCGCGCACGGUCAGUCCCUGGCCGGGGCGGACGCGCGGCUGCGGGGCUCCAGCGCCUCCAGUAGAUGAGGCGCUCUGGGAGGGCAGGGGCCUGUCCCACCCGCUCUGGGCCCUGCUCCAGCCCCGGCCUGUGCUGAAUCGAGAACGGCACGCUCUCUGUGUCUCCACCACCCCCUGCCCUCUCGCCUCCAGCCAUGGCGCCCCUGCUCGCCCUGUUGCUGGUGGCCCUGGUGGGCCUGCCUGUGGCCCAGGCUCUGGAGUGCCACGUGUGUGCCUACGAAGGAGAGAACUGCUUCAACCCCAUGCCCUGCCCGGCCAUGGUCGCCUACUGCAUGACCACGCGCACUUACUACACUCAGACCAAGAUGAAGGUGAGCAAGUCCUGCGUGCCCAGAUGCUUCGAGACCGUGUACGACGGCUACUCCAAGCACGCGUCCACCACGUCCUGCUGCCAGUACGACCUCUGCAACGGCGCUGGCCUCACGGCGCCCGCGACCCUGGCCCUGGCCCUCAUACUCCUGGCCACCCUCUGGGGUCUCCUCUAAAGCCCUGUCCCGCCUCCGCAGACUGUCCAGCACAAAGCUCUGAGCAGCACGGACCCCACCCUCUGCCCUCCCAGACCCCCCAGCCACACCCAGGACUGUCUGCAAGAGAACCCGACCUCCCCUGGCCACCCUGGGGUCAGCUUCCAGGUCACGACCUGUUACUUCCAAAAGGCUCUUGUGGGACCACGCCUCCUGAGGCAUCUGUCCAAGGAUGGGGUGCAGGCAGAGUGUGCUGUCGGGGAGGCUUCGGUCGGCCCAGACCACUGAUUCGAAGGCGCCCUCUGCCGCGUCUGCCCUGAAGCUGUGCUGGAGGGGGAGGCGAGAUGAGGGACCCAGGGGUGGUGGACAGUGGUAGGACGAAGGCUCUCCAAGGCCCCAAAGGGGCUGUCUCUGUGUCCCUGACUGAGGCGGGAGCUGCCCAGGGCAGGUGUGGCAUGGGGGCUGAGCCACGAAGGCCUGUGUCCCCGUUGGCUGUCCCGGGGAGGGUGCCAGCCUCUGUCCAGUGGCCUGUGGCCGGGGACGGCGUAGGUCCGCCUAAAGAGACCUUCCAGCCCCAGGAGUGGAUUCUGGGUCCAGUGCGGGGGUCUGUCCCUUCUUACUCAGCCAGACCCUUGACCUUCCCCCUCCCCACCCAGCACUGGGCGGCCGCAGGACAGGCCAGGCUAUAUUUGGUCAAGCCUGAGAGCUGAGCCCAGGGCUAUUUUGGGCCAGGAAAGAAGGGAGCAGUGUGGCGGCUGCGGAGGCCUGGCCUUUAGUCCCAUAGCAGGUCCUGGCAGAGUAGAGCCUUUACGGGGGUGGUGGUGGGGGAAACCACCUCGGGGGCGCCAGAGAGGAUUCUGCCAGAGAGGAUUCUUCCCCUCCUCCCACAAGUCGGACAGUCCCCCCGGUGGGGACGGAGGGCACAUCCUCGAACUGGAGCGGGGCGCCCUCUCGUGGCUGCCUGGGGUGGCGCUGGGCAGGGGCAGGCUGGGCCUGGGGGACGGAGCAGGAGGGGGCGGCGGGGAGGGGGGAGUGGAUCCGGAUGGAAGGGAGGGGGAUCGGGGUCAAGAAAGGGGGGGUGCGCACCCCUCGCCCCCUCCUGAGGAGUGACCAUUGUCCCGCCACCUGCAGCAGGCCCCUGUGCUCUGGCCUGCGGGCCCCGCCGGCAUCCUGAACAAGCGGUGGUGCACCGGCCUUGGCCUCCAGGUCUGCUCCAUCCGGAGGGUUGCCAAGGGCCCUGCAAGCUCCACCUCAGGGAGGGGCUCUCAGGAGCCCCCAUGCCAGCUGGGCAUUGGGAUCCCCAGGGACCCAGGCAUGGGCGUUAUUUAAGGGGCACCCACCCAUGGUGAGGCUGGGGAGGCACAGGUGUGUCCAGGGAGCCCAACCCUCCUUCUUGUGAGACCGGACAUGACACGCAGCCACUUUUCUGGGGUCACGCAGCACCAGAGGCCUCCUCACCUGACCACUGCCCCAGUUCCAGUGUUCACAGAGGAGCCCAAGUGGGUGAAACGGUGGCAGGUGCCCAUGUGGGGGGUGGUUCUAGAACUUAGAAGCCCUGGGCCCCGAAGGGUGGCCCUUGUCAGAGGGACCUGUGCUGGAAGUUCCCUCCUGAGAGCUUCCCCCAGGACUGUCAGGCCCCCAGGGAUGGGGACGCUCUGGCAGCCCGGGUCGGGGUCCUUAGGGGCUGGCAGCGUGCUCUGCCCAGACAGCAGGCCUGGUGUCCCGUCCCCCUGAGGCCGGCCAGGUGUGAGUCCCUCCUCAGGGGAAGCUGGGAGGAAGGCAGACCCCACCCCUGGCCCUCAGGAGCGAGUCCCCUUGGAGCUGGCUGCAGGGCCAGUGCAGAUGUAGGUGCCAGCGGGAGGGCGGGCAGCCUGCCCUCCUGACUCAGUGGGCGGGGCCUGGGAAGCGGUCACCACCCUGCUUGUGCAAGCACUCCGUCCUGGUCGUCCGUCCCUCCCUCUGGUCCCAGUGGGCGAUGGCGCUGAGCCCUGCCUGGCCACCUGUGGGCUGUGGGGUCACUAAGAGCAGGGAUCCAGUGGGAGCUGCAGGUGCACAGUGUUGGGCGGGGUGCUUCUCACACCUGCCUCCUGCAUCUGUCCAUCCAUCCUACACCCUGACCUGGUCCCCCCCAGCACCGGGGACCAUGCUGCCCACCCCACCCCCCUAGAGCAGGUUCUGCCAGGCCAGGCUGUCCCUGCGUCCCGCACAGAGCACACGAAGGUGCUCGGCUCAGGCCGGGCCGGGCCUCCCAGUGGGAGGUGCGCUGCACUGUCAGGGGACUCGGCUGCAGCGCCCCUGGCAAUCAGAGUCAGUUUGUACCUACUGUCUGUCAGUGCAGUUCCCCCGACAGCCCUGCAAGGUAGGAGCUGUCAUCAAGCCCCUUUCACAGAUGAGGAAACAGAGGCACAGAGGGGGCGGGGUAGCCCAAGGUGGGCUGGACUCCUUGUCCGCUGCCCCGCUGUGCAGUCCCUUCUCCCGUCAGCUACGGGAGGGAGGGGAGGCUGGGAAGGUGGGUUUAUAAGUUUAAGAGAACUUUAGCAUGUUAAAUAUAAUACCUUAGGGUCAGAAAAGCUCAGGAGGUUUGGGAAGCCAUGAAGGCCAGACUCAGGGUGUCCAGCCGAGUGCCAGGCCAGGGGUGGCAUAGCAGAGAGGGGACAGAGGGGCGCCAGGUGCCCCAUCUGCAUCAGGACCAAGGAUCGUGGUAGGGAGAGGCCCAGGUUCCUCCCGGGAGCCGGCCUCUGUGUCUCGGGAGUGGCGGCUCGACCCUGACGGCCCCUCCUGUGGAGCCUUGUAUUCUGCGUUGGCCUGGAAUCAGCCAAGAGGCUGGCACCACAGCAUCGAGCUGGGGUCAGGGUCGGGUCUGGCCAUCACGAGGAAGGUGUGGUGCGCCGGCUGCUGGUGCCCUGGUGCCACAGGGCGGGGAGGGGCACAGCCCCGCCCACCUCCCUUUGCCGCGAGUGUCUGAUGGGUGGUGAUGAGUGUGUAUUUUCUUCCUGAUUCUAAACUUCGGAAAAAGUGAAAAGCAACUGAGAGGCCUCUUUCUUUUUCGUGCUCCCGCCGCCCUGAGCAGCUUGUCAGAUCCUAAAGCUCGGGCUGAUCUGGAGCUGGUCCUUCGCGUCUCUGAGCCUGGCUGUCUGGCUAAGGAAGUGGGGACGAUGGCGCCUACCAAGCUGGGGCCCAGACGGAACGAGGCUGCGGGUGUCAGUGCCCAGCCUGGGCCUGGCGCACCGGAGGCCCCCGAUGGACAGCGGAUGGGGAGGGGUCUUGUCCCUUCCAGGCCCCUUCCCUGGUGCUGGCACUCCCGAGGGUGCUGCCCCUGCCAGUGGCUGAUGCCAGCCCCAGGCCCUAACCCUCCUGGGGCAGGAUUCACCUUCAGGCCACAUCUUCACCCUUGCUCACAGCAUCGCCCCAGCGAGGUCUGCGUCGUAUCUCCAGCAGGUGGAUACAGAUGCUGUGCCUCCCUAUGUCCCUACGGGCUCCGCCAGUGUGAUCUGGUUUGGCUGGUCCUGCUGGCUCUGUCCGUCUCUCAGCCCCUGGCCACUCUGGCUCAUCUGGUCUUUGACCAUGGAGCCAGCCCUGGCCAGAGUGGGGGAGGGGAGCCAGCAGGAGAGGCAGGGGUCCCUGGAAGCCGCCCCAGGUGGGAGCAAGGUGACACCCCCCCCCGGGGAAGGCUGGUAGGGCCGGGGACGCAAGCAGGGCCCCAGGAAUGCACCCCACUCCCCAGCUCUCGCUUCAUGUCCCAGCUCUUCUCUGCCUGGGAGCAGGGUCUGGGUGGGCACAGCCCAAGAGCCCACCAGACAGAGGGCCAGACGAAGCCACUCAAGCCACCAGAGCAGACACAGCACGGUCCCUGGGCCAGCAGGGCUGAGGGCUGACCCCCUUCCAAGGGUCACCUGCACUGCCCCCGUGGGACCCC